GUGUCAGCAGCCGCGGUAAUACCCGCGCCCCAAGUGGUGGUCGAUAUUAUUGAGCCUAAAACGUCCGUAGCCGGUCUUUUAAAUCCUUGGGUAAAUCGGGCAGCUUAACUGUCCGACUUCCGAGGAGACUGGAAGACUUGGGACCGGGAGAGGUCAGAGGUACUUCUGGGGUAGGGGUAAAAUCCUGUAAUCCUGGAAGGACCACCGGUGGCGAAGGCGUCUGACUAGAACGGAUCCGACGGUGAGGGACGAAGCCCUGGGGCGCAAACGGGAUUAGAUACCCCGGUAGUCCAGGGUGUAAACGCUGCGGGCUUGGUGUUGGGGGUCCUUUGUGGGCGCCCAGUGCCGGAGAGAAGUUGUUAAGCCUGCUGCUUGGGGAGUAUGUCCGCAAGGAUGAAACUCAAAUAAAUUGACGG
rnacentral:rRNA from 1 species